rnacentral:rRNA from 1 species
GUGGGGAAUCUUCCGCAAUGGACGAAAGUCUGACGGAGCAACGCCGCGUGAGUGAUGAAGGUCUUCGGAUUGUAAAGCUCUGUUAAUCGGGACGAAAGAGCCUAGUGUGAAUAAUGCUAGGAAGUGACGGUACCGGAAUAGAAAGCCACGGCUAACUACGUGCCAGCAGCCGCGGUAAUACGUAGGUGGCAAGCGUUGUCCGGAAUUAUUGGGCGUAAAGCGCGCGCAGGCGGAUCUGCCAGUCUGUCGUAAAAGUUCGGGGCUUAACCCCGUGAUGGGAUGGAAACUACAGAUCUAGAGUAUCGGAGAGGAAAGUGGAAUUCCUAGUGUAGCGGUGAAAUGCGUAGAUAUUAGGAAGAACACCAGUGGCGAAGGCGACUUUCUGGACGAAAACUGACGCUGAGGCGCGAAAGCGUGGGGAGCAAACAGGAUUAGAUACCCUAGUAGUCC